UUGGAGGGCAAGUCUGGUGCCAGCAGCCGCGGUAAUUCCAGCUCCAAUAGCGUAUAUUAAAGUUGUUGCAGUUAAAAAGCUCGUAGUUGAAUUUCGAGACCGGCUUACUGGUCGUGCUAUUGUACGUACUGGUAUAAUCGGUUUCUCCUUUCUGACGAACUAUAAUGCCAUUAAUUUGGUGUUAUAGGGAAUCAGGACUGUUACUUUGAAAAAAUUAGAGUGUUUAAAGCAGGCUCACGCUUGAAUACAUUAGCAUGGAAUAACGGAAUAGGACGUUUGAUUCUAUUUUGUUGGUUUCUAGGAUCGACGUAAUGAUUAAUAGGGAUAGUUGGGGGCAUUAGUAUUCAAUUGUCAGAGGUGGAAUUCUUGGAUUUAUUGAAGACUAACUACUGCGAAAGCAUUUGCCAAGGAUGUUUUCAUUAAUCAAGAACGAAAGUUAGGGGAUCGAAGACGAUCAGAUACCGUCGUAGUCUUAACCAUAAACUAUGCCGACUAGGGAUCGGAUGAUGUUAAUUUUUUAAUGACUCAUUCGGCGCCUUACGGGAAAC
rnacentral:rRNA from 1 species